rnacentral:rRNA from 1 species
AAUUUGGCCUGCCCCCUGAUAUUUGAAUUAAAGGGCCGCAGUAUUAAUAACUGUGCAAAGGUAGCAUAAUCAUUAGGUUUUUAAUUGGAAUCUUGUAUGAAAGGUUAGACAAAAGAAUAACUCUCUUUAUAUUAAUGUUGAAUUUAACUUUUAAGUGAAAAGGCUUAAAUAAACUAGGGGGACGAUAAGACCCUAUAAAACUUUACAUUGUAGUUAUAUUUUAGUGAAUUUAUAAUAUAAAAAUUUAAUUUAAUUUAUUUGUUAUGUUGGGGAGACAUAAGUAAAAUUUAUUUUAACUGCUUAAUUAGUUAUACAAUUAUUAGUGAUAAAUUUGUAGAAGAUCCUUUUUGAAGAUUAGUAGGUUAAGUUACUUUAGGGAUAACAGCGUAAUUUCCUUUAAGAGUUCUUAUCGAAAGGGAAGGUUGCGACCUCGAUGUUGAAUUAAAAAAUCUAUAUAAUGAAGAGGUUAUAUAAAGAAGGUCUGUUCGACCUUUAAAAUUUU